rnacentral:rRNA from 1 species
GACGAACGCUGGCGGCGUGCUUAACACAUGCCAGUCGAACGGAAAGGCCCUGCUUUUGUGGGGUGCUCGAGUGGCGAACGGGUGAGUAACACGUGAGUAACCUGCCCUUGACUUUGUGAUAACUUCAGGAAACUGGGGCUAAUACCGGAUAGGAGCUCCUGCUGCAUGGUGGGGGUUGGAAAGUUUCGGCGGUUGGGGAUGGACUCGCGGCUUAUCAGCUUGUUGGUGGGGUAGUGGCUUACCAAGGCUUUGACGGGUAGCCGGCCUGAGAGGGUGACCGGCCACAUUGGGACUGAGAUACGGCCCAGACUCCUACGGGAGGCAGCAGUGGGGAAUAUUGCACAAUGGGCGGAAGCCUGAUGCAGCAACGCCGCGUGCGGGAUGACGGCCUUCGGGUUGUAAACCGCUUUCGCCUGUGACGAAGCGUGAGUGACGGUAAUGGGUAAAGAAGCACCGGCUAACUACGUG